rnacentral:rRNA from 1 species
UACGGGGGGGGGCAAGCGUUGUUCGGAAUUACUGGGCGUAAAGGGCUCGUAGGCGGCCAACUAAGUCGGACGUGAAAUCCCUCGGCUUAACCGGGGAACUGCGUCCGAUACUGGAUGGCUUGAGGUUGGGAGAGGGAUGCGGAAUUCCAGGUGUAGCGGUGAAAUGCGUAGAUAUCGUGAGGAACACCGGUGGCGAAGGCGGCAUCCUGGACCAAUUCUGACGCUGAGUGAGCGAAAGCCAGGGGAGCAAACGGG